AACGAACGCUGGCGGCGUGGAUAAGACAUGCAAGUCGAACGCUGAUUUCAGGGUAGCAAUAUUCUGAAGUCGGAGUGGCGCAAGGGUGCGUAACACGUGGGUAAUCUGCCGUGAAGUUGGGGAUAACUUGCUGAAAGGCGAGCUAAUACCGAAUGUGAAAAUUAAGAGGCAUCUCUCGAUUUUCAAAGUUGGGGACCGCAAGGCCUGACGCUUCAUGAUGAGCCCGCGGCCUAUCAGCUAGUUGGUGAGGUAACGGCUCACCAAGGCUAAGACGGGUAGCUGGUCUGAGAGGACGACCAGCCUCACUGGAACUGAGACACGGUCCAGACACCUACGGGUGGCAGCAGUCGAGUAAUUUUUCUCAAUGGGCGAAAGCCUGAAGGAGCGACGCCGCGUGGGGAUGAA
rnacentral:rRNA from 1 species